GCUCCAUGUUCCUGGCUCUUAACGCAGCUGUGCAAAGAGAAGAUUCACACUCUUCUUCCAAACUAGGAACAUAUGAAUUUAUGUUUUUAAAAGUGAGUUCUUAGCAUUGUACAUUGCCUUUGACGCUUUGUGUUGGAAAGGCGCCUUCAUCACUUUCACCUGGCGGCAUCCAUUACAGCAGGCUAUAGGUCAGUGAGGAAGAGAAGAAACCAGGCCAUUCCGCUGGCUCAGCUGAGAGACCAACAACUUCUGUUUCUGUCUCUCCUUGAAAAACUUUCUGCUGCAGUUGAUUAUUUUAAGAACUCUGCAACUAAGAACUAGUGCUUGAGGGUUUUUUCCUUCUCCCUUCCAAAAUAUUUUCCUCUUGUGCUAUGUAUUUUUGAUAGUAAGUCUGAGGAUAGGGGCUGUCUUCUUAUUGAUCUCUGUACGUCAGUCUUGCAACUUUUUUGGGUUAAAGAGUGAGGUAAAAAUGCCCAAAUAUAUAUACACAAAUAAAUAUGAAGAUGGCUCUCUAACAAGAUGCAUGGGCGAGAAUGACAUUUAUACGAAAGCUGCUAAAACUCUGGGUGAUAUUCAACGUUAAUCACAUUAGUAGAUCCAUUGUAAUCAAUGUAUGACCAAUCGAUAACACACUGCACAAGAGAUCCUGAGUCACAUUAAGCAAUCUAACACUGGAAGCAAUGCCCUCUCAGACAGAUAAUGACAGUUGCUAUGAUAAAAUAAAGUAACUCCCCACCUCCCGCCGACACCUUUGAAAUAUUCAUUGUCAAACAUCAUUAUGAACAUUCUCAAGAACCAGAGGUAUGUUACCAUGCUGCUCUCAGACUCUUAACAUAAUUUAUGAACAGCACACUGAAUUAUAGUUCCCAUUGUGCAGAUCAAAAAGGAGGAAAGUACCUUUUCA